rnacentral:rRNA from 1 species
GUCCACGCCGUAAACGAUGUCAACUAGUUGUUCGUCUCAUAAACGAGGUGAGUAACGCAGCUAACGCACUAAGUUGACCGCCUGGGGAGUACGGCCGCAAGGUUAAAACUCAAAAUGAAUUGACGGGGGGCCCCGCACAAGCGGUGGAGCAUGUGGUUUAAUUCGAUGCAACGCGAAGAACCUUACCAUCCCUUGACAUCCAGUGAAUCUUUUAGAGAUAGAAGAGUGCCUUCGGGAACACUGAGACAGGUGCUGCAUGGCUGUCGU